rnacentral:rRNA from 1 species
UACGUAGGUGGCAAGCGUUGUCCGGAAUUAUUGGGCGUAAGGCGCGCGCAGGUGGUUUCUUAAGUCUGAUGUGAAAGCCCACGGCUCAACCGUGGAGGGUCAUUGGAAACUGGGGAACUUGAGUGCAGGAGAGAAGAGUGGAAUUCCACGUGUAGCGGUGAAAUGCGUAGAGAUGUGGAGGAACACCAGUGGCGAAGGCGACUCUUUGGCCUGUAACUGACACUGAGGCGCGAAAGCGUGGGGAGCAAACAGG